rnacentral:lncRNA from 1 species
CCGUCGUCCCGUCGCCGUCGUCCCGUCGCCGUCGUCAUCCCCUCCCGCCGGUCUUCCUUUCCGUGGUGUGAAGGUAUGUGAUCUUCCAUUUUUUUAUGUUGAUAUUUGUAUUUUAUGAAUUUGUUUUAGAUGAUUAGAUGUUUGGAUGUUUUGGGUAAAUCAUGUGUUUUAAUCUAUAUAUUUGUUAGUGUUUGGAUGUGUAGAUGUUUAGAUGAUAAUGUUAAUGAAUUGAUUUACAUUUUGAUUGAUUUUGAUUGAUUUACAUUUUUUAGAUUUUGGGUUCUAUAUAUGUUAAUGAAUGUUUGAGAAGGAUUAUGAUUUGAGAAGGAUUAUGUUAAUGAAUGUGGGGUUUGAAUGAAUGUUUAAUGAAUGUUGAGGAUCAUGUUAGAAGAGAAAAUAUGGGCGAUGGUUAUUGCUUUACAUGGGUAUCUAUAAUUGUCAUAUGGAGAUCAAACAUAUAAAGACAUAGAAUGAAAAUGCUUGCAUAUAUUGCUUAGUUUGCUGGCCGAUUUUAAAGGUUGGUUGGUGAUCUUUUCUGCUGCAGAUGAAUCAUGAUGAUUCAUGAUUGAACUCAUGAUUUUGCCUUUGUUCUAUCUUCUAUGUUGUAGCUUCAUCGUACUGUAAUAAUAAAAUUGAGCAUACAACACACUAGGAGUAAAGUAUAAACUAUCAAGUAUUCAUCCUUGUACAUGAAAUUAAAAUAAUUAGUUUUUAAAAUAAUUAAAGUACUGUUUUUAAAUAAUUAAAUUAGAUAAUGAUUUGAAAUAGUUAAAUAAUUAAUGUAUUUCAUGUUUGAAAUUAGAAAUUAAUUUAAAAAUUAAUUUGUUUUAAUAAUUUUCUGUUUUUAAAUUAUUUAAAAAAAAAUUAAAAAAAUUAAUUAAUUUAUGUUUUAAAAUAAUUUAAAAUUUAUAUUAAAUAAUUAAUGUGUUUUUUAAUGUAAUUAAUUAAUUUGCAUGAAUUCAAGUAAUUAAUUACAAUAAAAUUAAUAUGUUAUUAAUGAAAUAUUAAAUGUUUAUGUUAAAAAAUAAUAUGUUUUAUUAUUUAAUAAAUUGUAAAAUAAUAUUGUUUAAUAAUUAAUAAUUAUUUAAUUGAAUGUUAUUUAUCAAAAAAAUAGUAAUUAAUGAACAAUUUACAUUAAUGUAUUGUAUAUGUUAAUAAUUAAAUAUGAAUGAAUAUAUUUUUUUCAAUAAAUAAAUAAUUAAUUUACUGUUUUUAUGUUUUUUAAUUAAAUGAAAGUGUAUUUAAUUAAAAUAAUAAUUACUUUUAUUAUUGAUUUAAUAAAACAAUUAAUUAAUAUUUUCUUUAAAUAAAAAAAUAAAUAAUUUACUGUUUUUAAAUUAAAAAAUUAAUAAAUAAUUUUAAAAUUAAUUUAAAAUUAUUAUUUUAUUUACUGUUUUUAAUUAAAGAAUUAAUAAUAUUUUGAAAUAAAUAAAUAAUUUUCUGUUUUUAAAUAUUUUUAAAAAUAAUGAAAUUAAUUAUUUGAUAUACUGUUUUUAAUUAAAUAAUUAAUAAUUUUGUUGAAAUAAUUAAAAAAUUAUUGUGUUGUUGACUUGAUGUAGGUUUUGAAAAAUCAAGAAUCCAAAAAUUUGGAUUGAAUUAAGCUCUAUUGCGGUAUUAUAAAUGUUUAUUUAAUCAUUUUGUUUUAAAAAUAUUUAAUUAAUUUGCAUGCAUGUAAAUAUAAAUUUGUUAAUUAGUAAUUAUGAAAUUGAAUGAUUUGAAAUUCUAUCAAUAAUAAUUAAUUUGCAUGAAAUUAUUAAAUUGUUAAUUAAUAAUUAUGAAAUUGAAUCAUUUUAAAUUUUAUCAAUAAUUAUUAAUUUGCAUAAAAUUAUUAAUUAUUUAAUAAUAAUUAAAUUGAAUGAUUUUAAAUUGAAUUAAUAAUGAUUAAUUAAUUUGCAUGAAAUUAUAGAAAUGUUAAUGAAUAAUUAUGAAAUUGAAUGAUUUUAAAUUGAAAUAAAAAUUAUUAAUUUGCUAAUUAUUUGUUAAUAGUAAUUAUUAAAUUGAAAUGUUAAUGAUUAAUUUGCCUGAAAUUAAAAAUUUGUUAAUUAAUUAGUAAUUAUUAAAUUGAAAUGUUAAUGAAUAUAAUUUGCAUGAAAUUAUAGAAAUCAUAAUGAAUAAUUAUUAAAUUAAAUGAUUUUAAAUUGAAAUAAUAAUCAUUAAUUUUCCAUGUAUUGAUUAAUUAAUUAUUUAUUUCUUUGUUUAAAAACUAUUAAAUUAAUUAAUUUAAUAUUUUUUUAGAUUUUAAGAAAUGCCACGUAGAGUGAAGCAAUUACCUCGUCGGAGGCCGCUCUACCACCCAAUCCCCAAGAUGCUUUCCGGUUUUAUCUCCCGGUUCAUCCAGGACCGGCCUAUAAAAAAUUGAACUAGCUAGAUUACGUACCUAGUUCAAUAAUUAGCUAGAUUUUCCCAAAAAAUUGAAAUAUAACUAAUAUUGUAAUAGUCAAAUAAUUUUUAUCUAAUUAAUUAUAAUUCGAUAAAAAUUUAAAUUUUUAGGAUAAUGUCGAACGUUAUGAAAGUACCCGAUAAAGCUUGGAUGAGUUUAGAUCGGUUUUCGAAAGAAUACGGCGAAGGGUUAACAGCUUUCAAUAAUUUCGCCAUUUCGAAUUCGACUCACCCAGAAGGUUAUUUACCUUGUCCAUGCUCGUCCUGCACGAAUAGUGAAGUGAUUCCUAUAAAGGAGAUGAGGAAACAUGUUUUCAUAAAUGGUUGGUUGAAACAUUACGAUGUUUGGACGCGUCACGGAGAGUUACCGAGUAGAUACGGUGAGAAAAAAGUGAAACGAAAAGAAACAGUGGCGGAAACAGGUAACGAUAUGAUUGGAUUGGUUCGUGCGGUUUACGGAGAACAUGUAGUUGACAAUACAGCCGACGAAGAUUUUCUCGAAACAGAACCUCUCGAAUACGAGCCUGUCCAUGAAGAUCCAGUCGAUGUAGAUCCAGUCGACGAAGAUCCAGAGCAGAGAUAUGACGAUUCGUUCUUACGCCGUCUAAAAGAAGGUGAAGAACAGUUAUAUCCAGGUUGCACUGAGUUUUCCAAACUAUCUUUUAUCUUGGAAUUGUAUCAGUUGAAGUGUCGAACCAUAUCGAAAUAAACACUUGAAGCAUUUGAAAGUUAUGUUUCCAAAACACACACAGCUUCGUCUGGAAAAUUUACACUUCAAACAAUUUGCCGAUUGGUUUAAGAAACACAUGUCCGAAGCUCAACAAUCUGACACAGAUUUGAAUUCUAUUUCCCGCGGACCAAGUUAUUUUGCUUCAAUUUAUAGUGGUUACAUUAUGAAUGGAUUAAAAUUUCAGACGUCAGAAUUGACAAAUCGUAGAUCGACGCAAAAUAACGGUAUUUUUCUAUCGGCUACAACAUCAACGUAUGCAAAAUCUCCAAAUGAUGCUCCGUUGGUAGCAGAAAUUGAAUAUCAUGGAUUAUUAGAAAAUGUCUUCGAAAUUUGCUACGGUCACACGACGAAAUAUUGUCUGUUUGAAUGUAAGUGGUACGAUCCUGGAAAAGUAGGUACUAAAGUCGAUGAUUUUGGUGUCGUUUCAGUCAACACGACACGGGGGAAAUUUGGAAAGGAACCAUUCAUUUUGGCAAAUCAGGCUCAACAAUGUUUCUACAUUCAAGAUCCGGUAGAAUCUGAAUGGAGUUCAGUCCUUAAAAUACCAAAUAGAGAUAUUUUCGAUGUUGAUAAUGAUGAUUGUUGUAAUUAAAUUAUAAAGUAUUAUAUUACAGUAUAAUUUAAUAUUUUCAAUGUAAUAUCAUGUUGAUUAUAAAUAUUUCUUUUUUUCAGUAAAAAAUGAGCCAACUACUUGCAAUCGUCGCACGAUAUGAACGACUAGAGCGACUUAAACAGAUUCAACGUAGUUUUCACAAAAACAUAGAUUAUUAUUGUCGUGUUUUUGCUUGUUUCCGUUGCGGAGUCAACGGUCAUCAUUUUCAGAACUGUCCAAAAAUAUGGUCAACAAAUCCUCAAACAAUGGAAACCGGUCAGAUUUUAGUGUUAGGAUACGAGGCUAGAGUGUUGAAUGAUUGUGGUGGCACACAUUCAUUCAAAAUCGAAUACAACUCUUCUCACGACGACUUCGAAGAUUUGUUGUGUUUAAUAAUAAAGAAUGUAAAUUACAAUAGGAAAAAUGUUUGGUUGUUGUGUCAGACCAAGACCCCAUAUACGGGUGUCUGGCUAUGUAUUUAAAAUAACUGAUUUUAUUUUAAAAUUGUAAUAUUUCAGAUUAUGUUUACAUUUUUCUUUCUGGUUGGUGUGAUCACACCUUUUAUGGCACUGGCGAUGGUUACAUCCCGUCGCUCUUUCGAGGAGUCCAGUUCGAGUGGUCAGUUCAUUAUUAAUAUUUUAAAUAUUAUCAUGAUUUUUAUUAAAUAUUAAUUUUUAAAUAUGUAAAUUAAUUAGAUGCGAGGCCAUCCACUUCAAAUGUGCCUCCACAAAAGAAGGGUCGUGGUCGCAUAAAAGACCACCCCCAUAACCAUCCAGAGAAAGGUACGAAGUGGAAGGUUAUGUUUGAUAACACAAACCAAGCCACGGAUGAAAUGGCGAAGAAGUUAACGACAAGAAUGGCUCUUUUAGCAAAAGACCAUACUCUUUUUCCGUACGACAUUGAGUGACGUCAUCAACCACAACAGAAUUUCCAAGACGCGCUAAAAAUAUUAACUGUAAGUAUAUAAUUUUUUAUAUAAUUUAUUAAUUUUCCAAAACUUAUAAGUUUUGAAUAUGUAGGCUGAAUAUGAUUUAAGUGGAAGCAAAGCUGCACAAACUUACAUCAAUGGCAGGCUGAACAAACUCUGGAGGAGCAACCAUAAUUCUUUGAUUAAAACUUAUGGCUCUGAUCCUGAUAUGAGAGAAGAAGACAUCUUAGCGACUCUUCCGCCGUAUGUCAGCAAACCUCAAUUUCUAAAUAAAUUGAUACAGCAUCGUUCGAAAAAAGGAAAGGUACGUAUAUGUAUAUAUAUAUAUUUAUUAUAUUAAUUAUUUUUGAAACUUAUUUUUUUUUUAAUUUCAGCAAAUUUCCGAGAUAAACACCGCGAACCGAGCGAAUCAAAUGACACAUCACGCUGGUUCAAAAGGAUUAGCGCAAAGACGUCAUGAAUUG